GACGAACGCUGGCGGCGUGCUUAACACAUGCAAGUCGAACGAUGAAGCCGGAGCUUGCUCUGGUGAAUUAGUGGCGAACGGGUGAGUAACACGUGAGUAACCUGCCCUUGACUCUGGGAUAACUGCGGGAAACUGUAGCUAAUACCGGAUACGACCCUCGGAGGCAUCUCCUGGGGGUGGAAAGAAUUUCGGGCAAGGAUGGACUCGCGGCCUAUCAGCUAGUUGGUGAGGUAAAGGCUAACCAAGGCGACGACGGGUAGCCGGCCGGAGAGGGUGACCGGCCACACUGGGACUGAGACACGGCCCAGACUCCUACGGGAGGCAGCAGUGGGGAAUAUUGCACAAUGGGCGCAAGCCUGAUGCAGCAACGCCGCGUGAGGGAUGACGGCCUUCGGGUUGUAAACCUCUUUUAGCAGGGAAGAAGCGAAAGUGACGGUACCUGCAGAAAAAGCACCGGCUAACUACGUGCCAGCCGCCGCAGUAA
rnacentral:rRNA from 1 species